CUCCAAAGUAGCAGGAAGAAAAAAAGGGAGCCGCGAGCUGGAGACGGGAGGUUAUGGAUCAAACUCUUCUGCAUUCGAAUGAAUUACCAACAUCAGCUUGUGUAUUUUCUCGGUCAGACGCGAAGAUUUAUGUCCUUACGCAGCACGGCAGUAAACACAGAGGCAGAUUCAUGUUCUCGCGCGGCCCACUGGGUUACACAUUGCCAAAACUAAAGAGAAAAGAGCGGGCGGCGUGGGAUGAGCAGUGAUCUAUCAAGUCUAUACCUCAACAAACAAAAGAAAGAAGACCCGUCCCGAAAAGAGGCCUACUCUUUACACCAUUUGGUGCUUGUUUUCCGGCAGCAGAGUGUUUACUGAAAGCUCAUCCACCAGACGUGGUGAAGCCUUGAAGAUAAUUAAUCACCUCAGUCAGGCAGGACCGCUUCUCCCCCAUGCACCAAUGCUU